CUAGUAAUCACAGGUCAGCAUACUGUGGUGAAUACGUUCCCGGGCCUUGUACACACCGCCCGUCACACCAUGAGAGUUGAGAAUACCCGAAGUCCAUGUCAAAGUGGCCGAAGGUAGGCUUGAUGAUUGGGGUGAAGUCGUAACAAGGUAAC
rnacentral:rRNA from 1 species